CAAUAUAGCUCAGUGGAUAGAGCGCGCCUCCUAUAAAGGCAUGGUCGUGGGUUCGAAUCCCACUAUUGA
rnacentral:tRNA from 1 species